rnacentral:misc_RNA from 1 species
UCUGGGUUUAUCCCAGCGGUCUCGUUAGAAAGAUUUAACUAACGACGGGGGUUGCGCUCGUUGCGGGACUUAACCCAACACCUCACGGCACGAGCUGACGACAGCCAUGCAUCACCUGCACUAGCUCCCCGAAGGGUCCCGCACCUUUCGGAUUGGUACCACUAGCAUGUCAAGCCUUGGUAAGGUUCUUCGCGUUGCGUCGAAUUAAACCACACGCUCCGCUGCUUGUGCGGGCCCCCGUCAAUUCCUUUGAGUUUCAGCCUUGCGGCCGUACUCCCCAGGCGGGGUACUUCCUGCGUUAGCGCCGGCACCCAAGGGGUCGCUCCCCCAGGCACCUAGUACCCAUCGUUUACGGCGUGGACUAC